GACGAACGCUGGCGGCGUGCCUAAUACAUGCAAGUUGAGCGCUGAAGGUUGGUACUUGUACCAACUGGAUGAGCAGCGAACGGGUGAGUAACGCGUGGGGAAUCUGCCUUUGAGCGGGGGACAACAUUUGGAAACGAAUGCUAAUACCGCAUAAAAACUUUAAACACAAGUUUUAAGUUUGAAAGAUGCAAUUGCAUCACUCAAAGAUGAUCCCGCGUUGUAUUGGCUAGUUGGUGAGGUAAAGGCUCACCAAGGCGAUGAUACAUAGCCGACCUGAGAGGGUGAUCGGCCACAUUGGGACUGAGACACGGCCCAAACUCCUACGGGAGGCAGCAGUAGGGAAUCUUCGGCAAUGGACGAAAGUCUGACCGAGCAACGCCGCGUGAGUGAAGAAGGUUUUCGGAUCGUAAAACUCUGUUGGUAGAGAAGAACGUUGGUGAGAGUGGAAAGCUCAUCAAGUGACGGUAACUACCCAGAAAGGGACGGCUAACUACGUG
rnacentral:rRNA from 1 species